rnacentral:rRNA from 1 species
GGGCUACCCCGAGUGCUGUCCGCUGAGGAUGGCUUUUCUCUGCUGUAAGGAGGCGGAGGAAUAAGGAGAGGGCAAGUCUGGUGUCAGCCGCCGCGGUAAUACCAGCUCUCCGAGUGGUGGGGAUGUUUAUUGGGCCUAAAGCGUCCGUAGCCUGCCCUUCAAGUCUUUCGUUAAAUCCAGCGAUUCAAUCGUUGGACUGCGGGAGAUACUGUUGGGCUAGGGGGCGGGAGAAGCCGACGGUAUUUCCGGGGUAGGGGUAAAAUCCUAUAAUCCCGGGAGGACCACCAGUGGCGUAGGCGGUCGGCUAGCACGUGCUCGACGGUGAGGGACGAAAGCUGGGGGAGCAAACCGGAUUAGAUACCCGGAUAGUCCCAGCUGUAAACGAUGCGGGCUAGGUGUUGGAGUGGCCACGAGCCACUUCAGUGCCGCAGGGAAGCCAUUAAGCCCGCCGCCUGGGGAGUACGGCCGCAAGGCUGAAACUUAAAGGAAUUGGCGGGGGA